rnacentral:rRNA from 1 species
AUGAACGCUAGCGGCAGGCUUAACACAUGCAAGUCGAGGGGCAGCGCGGGAUAGCAAUAUCCUGGCGGCGACCGGCGGAAGGGUGCGUAACGCGUGAGCGACAUGCCCGUUGCCCGGGGACAACCGGUGGAAACGCCGACUAAUCCCCGAUGGGAUACGAUGCUUCAUGGCAUUGUAUUGAAAGUUACGGCGGCGACGGAUUGGCUCGCGUCCGAUUAGCUUGUUGGCGGGGUAACGGCCCACCAAGGCUACGAUCGGUAGGGGUUCUGAGAGGAAGGCCCCCCACAAUGGGACUGAGACACGGCCCAUACUCCUACGGGAGGCAGCAGUGAGGAAUAUUGGUCAAUGGGCGGAAGCCUGAACCAGCCAUGCCGCGUGCGGGAAGGAGGCCCUAUGGGCUGUGAACCGCUUUUGCCUGGGGGCAAUAAGGGCGUCGCGCACGUCCGAUGAGAGUACCAGGCGAAUAAGCAUCGGCUAACUCCGUGCCAGCAGCCGCGGUAAUACGGGGGAUGCGAGCGUUAUCCGGAUUCAUUGGGUUUAAAGGGUGCGUAGGCUGUGCGUCAAGUCGGGGGUGAAAUUCCGGUGCUCAACACCGGGGCUGCCCUUGAUACUGUCGCGCUGGAGUGCGGAUGCCGCCGGAGGAAUGAGUGGUGUAGCGGUGAAAUGCUUAGAUAUCACUCAGAACACCGAUUGCGAAGGCAUCUGGCGAAUCCGUAACUGACGCUGAGGCACGAAAGCGUGGGGAUAGAACAGGAUUAGAUACCCUGGUAUUCCACGCCGUAAACGAUGAUGGCUAACCGCCGGCGACACACUGUCGGUGGCCAAGCGAAAGCGAUAAGCCAUCCACCUGGGGAGUACGUCGGCAACGAUGAAACUCAAAGGAAUUGACGGGGGCCCGCACAAGCGGAGGAACAUGUGGUUUAAUUCGAUGAUACGCGAGGAACCUUACCCGGGCUUGAAAGUUAGCGACGAUUCUGGAAACAGGAUUUCCCUUCGGGGCGCGAAACUAGGUGCUGCAUGGUUGUCGUCAGCUCGUGCCGUGAGGUGUCGGCUCAAGUGCCAUAACGAGCGCAACCCUUGCCGCCAGUUGCCAUCAGGUGAUGCUGGGCACUCUGGCGGGACUGCCACCGCAAGGUGUGAGGAGGGGGGGGAUGACGUCAAAUCAGCACGGCCCUUACGUCCGGGGCGACACACGUGUUACAAUGGCGGCCACAGAGGGAAGCUACCCCGCGAGGGGAUGCGGAUCUCGAAAAGCCGUCCCAGUUCGGACUGGAGUCUGCAACCCGACUCCACGAAGUUGGAUUCGCUAGUAAUCGCGCAUCAGCCAUGGCGCGGUGAAUACGUUCCCGGGCCUUGUACACACCGCCCGUCAAGCCAUGGAAGCCGCGGGCGCCUGAAGUCCGUGACCGGAAGGAGCGGCCUAGGGCGAAAGUGGUAACUGGGGCU